rnacentral:sRNA from 1 species
AAAAAAUAAAAAUAAUUUUAAUAAUUUAUUUUUUACUACAAAAGUCAAAUUAUAUAUUAUAUUAAGUAAAUUAAAUUAGUUAUUUUAAUAGUUUUAUAUUAAUUUUUCAUAUUAAAUUAUAAUUCGAUAUGAUAAUUUGUAAUUUCUUCAAUUUUGUUUGGCGGCAAUAAGGAGUUUAUUUUGUUAUUUGGGUAGUUAAUCCCGAGCAAUUUACUACGGAAAUAAAAUAAUAAAAAUCAAAUUACUACUUAAUCCGGUAAUAUGACCUUCAAAAGCCUAAAAUUACUUGGUUAUAAUAAUAGUAAUUUUACCAGGGCUGGGGAAAAUUCAAAAUCUAUUUACGGAUAUUUAUAUAACCUCUUGGGAAAUUUUAUAACGUGGAAACGCAAAAAGAAUUAAUAUUAUAACUUUAAAUAUCCCAAAAACCAGAUCCGACAUUCUUACGGUUACUUUAUAUAAAAUAUAAUAAUAUAAAACUUUAUUUAUAAAAAUUAAAUUUCCUGUAAAAAGCCCUUUUGCAAUAUUUGGAAAUAAUAUAGGUUAUACACUUAACGUAUAUAAUUUUACCCACUAUUAAUAUAUAAACUAUAUAUUAUUAAAAUUAUAUUACGUACAGGAACUAAUUAUAGGAAAUUAUUAAUUUUAAAAUAUUUCAAAUUUUAGUAAGCCGCUAAUAAUUUUACAAAACCCCGAACGUUUCCAACUUAUAAGGUUUCUGUAAAUUUUUCAACGUUGAAAAUGGUAAUAAUUUGAUUUUUAUUUACCAAAUUUCAAAAUAUUUAAUUAAUUCGUCAAUCAAUAAUUAUUAUUUUCUUUUAUUUGCAACUAUAAAAUUUCAAUAAGCCUGGUUCCCAACCAUGUUAUUUAAAUUCGCCCUAUACAAGUUAAUUUUAAAACGUUUAUACCAGCCCGGUAUCCAAAUUUAAAUCCACAUUGGAACAAGGCAAGUGUUGGGCAAUUUACGAACUAAGAGCACCCUCUAUAUUAAAUCUUUUCGCAUUUGAAAUAAUAAAUAACUAAAUUAAUUCUUUGGUUUAAUAAUUAGCUCCGUAGCUUAUACUUUGCAAAUUAUGGGUAUAAAUCUAAAAUUAAUUACGAUUUUCGGGUUUCUUUUUAAUUCGACGGUUUAUUUAACUUGGGGCUUAUUUUAAUCAAAAGGCUAAAUAUAAAAUAUUAUGUAUAUAAAAGGUACGUAACGGGUGUUCGAAUUGGGCUCAAAUAUUAAAGGGAACUUUUUUGUUAUUUCUUCAAUCAGGGAUAAUUUACUUUUGAUAUUUUCUUUCAGAUUUUAUUUCAAAUAAAAAACACUUGAGCACAAUAUAUUAAUUAUAUAUGUUAUUUUAUAUAUAAUUAAUUUACUUAUAUUUAUAUGUAAUUUAUAAUGUAUAGCGCGGAAAUGGUGUUGUGAAAUAAUUUGUUAAUUUUCUAAUUACAACUGUUGCAAUUCAAAAAUUUAAAAAUAGAGUUAAUUCUCUUAUAACGGGUUUUUAGCCACCCUGCACUUGCAAGCUAGUUACAUUAUACGGGGCUUCAACUUUUACUUUUACGUGCAAAUCCAAAAAUGGUUUGCUAGCAAAUAAAAGUAUCUUUUCAAAAACCCAUACAAAUUAAUAUCUUUUUUACAUUUAUUCAUGGUAUUGGAACCCUUUUUGGUAAGUUAACCCUUAUCCUAGUACCCGGAGAAUAGAUGUAUAAGAAAAUAAAGCAAAAUUUCGCCAAUUAAUAAAGUAAUUGUUUAAUAUUUAAAUUAUAAGCUAUUGCUAUUUUUAUUUCAACGUUUUUAACACUGGUUAGUAAUUACGCCGCACCUACAAUUUACCCCUACACUCCUAUUAGCACGGUUAUUAUUAGUAGCUUUUAAUACUAUCUAAUAAAAACUGCAUAUAUAAAAUAAACUGCAGAUUUUGCGCCAAAUAAGAAAGAUUUUUCUCGGAUACUAUUAUAUGGGACUUAUAUAAAUUAUUGUUCAAAACGAAAUAACAUUACUAAUAAAUAUUUUAAAAUACCCCUUUUUAUACAAAUUACUUUUGCAAUAAUUCAAAAAUAGUAUAACAAUGGUAAUAUUACUAUAAAAUUACAUAUUAUAAAUUAAUAAUUGCUGGCAUUUGUUUCCCUAUUAAAUUCACCUCGUUUAUUCAAGAAUAUACUUAAAAACGCCGUCAAAACUCGAAAAAUAAAUACAAAUUAAAAAAUAUUUCUAUUAAUUAUUGUGCAAGUUUUAAUCUCGUAACGUAUUUUAAGUGUAAAAUUAGCAAAGUUAGCGUUUUACAAAAUUUAAACUAUUUAAAAUACGCCCAUUAUAUUAAAAAUGCGUUCCCUUAUAUAUAAUGCGGAGAUUUCGUGCACGUAACCGGGCGCUGGAAAGUUAAACAGUUAUAUUACCGGUUUUAAUAAUUAGGGAUUAGGCUUUUCAUAUCAACCUUUUUUCCUUUAUUUCCGUGCCGGGUCCGUAUUAUUUAAUAUU